UUUCUUGGUGCUAUGCCAUCAUUUUGGAUGAUUGAGCACCUGUUUUAAUGAUCAACACCAUUAAAUACAUUUUAGUAUAUAAUUGAAGUCUCUAGAAGCUUAGUUUUCAAAUUAUCUAUCAAGAAUAUAUAUAUACUAUCUAUAUACAUAUUUAUAAAAUAUCUAAAAUCAACAUUUUUUAUUGAACUAGGCUGGAAUACUAUCAAUAGUACUAAGUUAUUGGUGCUAUUAGUUUUUUAGCCCUUGGAUCGGUAAUGAUAAUGUGGGCCCCCUAGGGUUGAGUGGAUGGUUGGUUGAAUAGUAUAAUCUAACUGGUAAAAAUAAUCAAAAGGAUUAAUCUAACGGCAGAAAACUUGAUAGCACCAAACGCUUGAUGCCAUCGAUAGCAUAGCAGCUGGACUCUUUUUUAUUAACAAUAUAAUAAGACCU
rnacentral:lncRNA from 1 species